AUCAGGAAGUGAUGUCGUCUCUCCGUCCUACCCUUGCUGUUUUCUCACCUUGUCAAUCAGGAUGUGAUGUCGUCUCUCCGUCCUACCCUGCUGUUUUACACUUAAACAACUGUUGCAGUAAAACAUUAGAUUGAUUGAAUUAGCAUAUUCCUUUCUCCGUCCCAAGCUGUCCGGUGGUUGGCUGUAGCAACACGGACGUGAAGCAGGGAGACCUGAUCCUAGAUCAGAUUAUGAGGAGACGAUCCAGAAGAGGUAGACUACCACGGCAUAAUUCUGGUCCAGAAGAGGUAGACUACCAAGGCAUAAUUCUGGUCCAGAAGAGGUAGAUACCACGGCAUAAUUCUGGUCCAGAAGAGGUAGACUACCAAGGCAUAAUUCUGGUCCAGAAGAGGUAGACUACCAGGCAUAAUUCUGGUCCAGAAGAGGUAGACUACCAAGCAUAAUUCUGGUCCAGAAGAGGUAGACUACCAAGGCAUAAUUCUGGUCAGAAGAGGUAGACUACCAAGACACGAUUCUGGGAACGCCACUCAUCAAUCCUGACAAUAAUAAUUGGACUUUUUAAUUAAUUGAGGAUAAAACAUGACUUUUUGUUGUUGUUGUUGUGACCAAAUUGUACUUGCUGCUGUGUCUGAUCGUAUUUGUUCGUCACAGAAUUGCGCUAUUCAGAAAUGUUACAUAACAAAACCUCUCUUUAUUUAUACUUAAGGGAGUCUUCUUUUUUCAGUCAGUUCAAUAAAGGUUUUGAUACAA